rnacentral:rRNA from 1 species
UACAGAGGUCCCAAGCGUUGUUCGGAUUCACUGGGCGUAAAGGGUGCGUAGGCGGUCGGGUAAGUCUGACGUGAAAUCUCCAAGCCUAACUUGGAAACUGCGUUGGAUACUAUCCGGCUUGAGGAAUGGAGGGGAGACUGGAAUACUUGGUGUAGCAGUGAAAUGCGUAGAUAUCAAGUGGAACACCAGUGGCGAAGGCGAGUCCCUGGACAACUCCUGACACUGAGGCACGAAAGCUAGGGGAGCAAACAGG